CGCCUAUACAAACAACCGCGGUAACUCCUCGAGCAAGAAACUAUAACUGAGCAACAAAUCCAGAAUACUACUACCUAUGGCCAACGCCGUAUGCGAGCAAGAAACUCGGAUCAUAUCAAAACCCUGAAGUGGCGCGACCUGCACCAGUUCACAGAGCGUCAGAGAGAGAGAGAGAGAGAGAGAGAGAGAGAGAGAGAGAGAGAGAGAGAGAGAGAGGAGGAGGACAACGUCAACUACCACCGCACACCACCAGACACCUCUCCGACACCAGCAGCGGCAGUACUACUAACUACUAUCAACGAUAUCAACUUACACCGAAAGAUUUCAGAGAAAGCUGGACAUCAACAAAAGACUCCUCUAACAUCAUUUGUAGCCGUACGCGAGCAAGCAAUUCGGACCUUAUCAAAACCCUGAAGUGGCGCGACCUGCACCAGUUCACAGAGCGUCAAGAGAGAGAGAAGGAGGACAACGUCAACCGCCACCACACACCACCGGACACCUCUCCGACACCACCAGCUGCAGUAUCUACCCAAACAGAACUCAAUAAUACGCAGUAUUAUUCACUGCGACCUCGAAAUCCGAUCCCGAUAUAAAAGGACAUCCGCCGCCACCGACUAUCGACCGAGACUAGACACCCAAUCACUACUA